rnacentral:lncRNA from 1 species
AUUAAACGACUGACUGUCCUUCUAGCAAAAAUCAUGAAACUUAUAAUUAAAACUAGCACAUUUUGCUGAGGAAAGGAGCUUUGUUUUGUUUUGAAGAGUUUGUCAUUCCUUUCCUUCUAAAUAACCCAUGAAGUUGCAAACCAGAUUAAGUGCAUAAAAGAACACCGCACCUUUGAAUAACCUGUUGAAGAACCAAAUUGUAUGAAAGGAUCCGCAGUAUAUACACCUCCCCCCAAACCACCAAACUCCUUAU